rnacentral:rRNA from 1 species
GACGAACGCUGGCGGCGUGCUUAACACAUGCAAGUCGAACGGUGAAGCGCUUUCCUUUUUGGUUGGUGUGGAUGAGUGGCGAACGGGUGAGUAACACGUGAGUAACCUGCCCCCUUCUUCUGGAUAACCGCAUGAAAGUGUGGCUAAUACGGGAUAUUCUGCGCCUGCUGCAUGGUGGGUGUGGGAAAGAUUGUGCCUUUGGGUGUUUUCGGUGGGGGAUGGGCUCGCGGCCUAUCAGCUUGUUGGUGGGGUGAUGGCCUACCAAGGCGGUGACGGGUAGCGCGGUCGGAGGGGGGGGGCGUGAACACGUGGGCUGGGACACGGCCCGAACACCUAGGGGGGGCAGCGGUGGGGAAUAUUGCAAAAUGGGCGAAAGCCUGAGGCAGGGACCCGGGGGGGGGGAUGGGGGCCUUCGGGUUGGGAACCUUUUUGGCAAGGGAAGGGGGCCUGCUCCUGGUGGGUGGGUUGGCGGGAGCUGGAUAAAGAGCGCCGGAAAACUACGG